CGCAAUCAAUAGCCAAUUAAUUGUUGGCAAGUAUGAAUGGCUUAACGAAUGCCCUACUGUCUCAAGAUAAAAACCAGUGAAAUUGAAUUCGUAGUGAAGAUGCUACGUACAAGUUGUUAGACGAGAAGACCCUAUUGAGCUUUACUGGGGACUUGCAUUGUUUUUUUGAAUUAUAUUAGGGGGAAAAUCACUAUAAAAUUUAAAAAGAACUAAAAUUGUUUAGAUUAAAAGUGUAAGUUGGACAGUUUGGUUGGGGCGACCGCCUUCUAAAAAGUAACGAAGGCGUACAUAAGGUAA
rnacentral:rRNA from 10 species